CCAGAUUAAGAGCCCAGUGGGCCUGGUGCUGACAAUUAUGACGGGCCUAAUUACAGAAUCAUAUCGACCAAAAACAGUAAAACACUCCCAAGCGUCAUGUAUCUGAUGGAGAUGGUGCUGGAGAGAAAGAAAACAGCAGCUAUAAGAAAACACAUACCCUAGGCUAAUCUCUCUCUAAUUUAUGUUUUCAUCUUUCAAGUAAAUACAUAACCCCUAACAGCAGUGUCCAGUCAAGCAGGAAGUCAAUGGGCACGGUAAAAGGGUGUGCCAC